UUUGCCCACACAUGGGAUCAAUAGGGUACCAUAACGAGGAAGAUCGUAGCGGAAUACGAAAGAUUAUUGAUCGAAUAUAUUAAUAUAAUAGAUUACCCUUUGAACUUAAGCAUAUCAUUAAAAGGAGGAGAAGAAACUAACUAGGAUUUCUUUAGUAGCAGCGAGUGAACAAGAAACAACCCUUGAUUGUAAUCCUUAUGGAGCUGUAAAUCAUAUAUUUUAUUUCUUAUUUCGUAGAGGAUGUAUAUCCGUUAUAAAUGAGAUAUAUAAAAGUAAUUGAGUAGGGCUGCUUGGUAGUGCAGUUUGAAUAUAGGUAGAAUGAGAUAUCUAAGGUUAAAUAUAAUGGUACACCGAUAGCAAAUAAGUACUGCGAAGGAACUUGUGAAAAUGUGUGGGUUAUAGCCUUAUUUUUAAGGACCCGUCCUGAAACACGGACCAAGGAGAUUAUAAUUAUAGCGAGAUAACAAUGUAGUCGUUAUUAGCUUGAUAAGUUAUAAUUAUAAGACCCGAAACACAGUGAACUAUACAUGUUCUGGUUGAAGAUAAGCAACAGUUUAUUGGAAGACCAUAAUCAUUCUGACGUGCAAAUCGAUGAUUUAAGAUGUGUAUAGUGGCGAAAGACCAAUCGAACUGUGUGGUAGCUGGUUCACAGCGAAAUGUCU
rnacentral:rRNA from 1 species